GACGAACGCUGGCGGCGUGCUUAACACAUGCCAGUCGAACGGAAAGGCCCUGCUUUUGUUGGGCGCUCGAGUGGCGAACGGGUGAGUAACACGUGAGGAACCUGCCCUUGACUUUGGGAUAACUUCAGGAAACUGGGGCUAAUACCGGAUAGGAGCUCCUGCUGCAUGGGGGGGGUUGGAAAGUUUCGGCGGUUGGGGAUGGACUCGCGGCUUAUCCGCUUGUUGGUGAGGUAGUGGCUUACCAAGGCUUUGACGGGUAGCCGGCCUGAGAGGGUGACCGGCCACCAUGGGACUGAGAUACGGCGCAGACUCGUACGGGAGGCAGCAGUGGGAAGUAUUGCACAAUGGGCGGAAGCGUGAUGCAGCAACGCCGCGUGCGGGAAGACGGCCUUCGGGUUGUAAACCGCUUUCGCCUGUGACGAAGCGUGAGUGACGGUAAUGGGUAAAGAAGCACCGGCUAACUACGUG
rnacentral:rRNA from 1 species